GACGAACGCUGGCGGCGUGCCUAAUACAUGCAAGUUGAGCGCUGAAGGUUGGUACUUGUACCAACUGGAUGAGCAGCGAACGGGUGAGUAACGCGUGGGGAAUCUGCCUUUGAGCGGGGGACAACAUUUGGAAACGAAUGCUAAUACCGCAUAAAAACUUUAAACACAAGUUUUAAGUUUGAAAGAUGCAAUUGCAUCACUCAAAGAUGAUCCCGCGUUGUAUUAGCUAGUUGGUGAGGUAAAGGCUCACCAAGGCGAUGAUACAUAGCCGACCUGAGAGGGUGAUCGGCCACAUUGGGACUGAGACACGGCCCAAACUCCUACGGGAGGCAGCAGUAGGGAAUCUUCGGCAAUGGACGAAAGUCUGACCGAGCAACGCCGCGUGAGUGAAGAAGGUGUUCGGAUCGUAAAACUCUGUUGGUAGAGAAGAACGUUGGUGAGAGUGGAAAGCUCAUCAAGUGACGGUAACUACCCAGAAAGGGACGGCUAACUACGUG
rnacentral:rRNA from 1 species